UAAAAUAUAAUGGUAAAUUUAUCUUUAGCCUAGAAAUACAAUAUCAAAUGUCAAUUAAAUAAGCCUUUUGUGAAACCCUAGCAACCAAGAGUGCUUCCUAUAGUGUCCUGGAGAAGGCAGUAGUAUUGCAGCUUAGGAUAAAGGAAAGUGGUGGUGACGUUGGGGUAGGGAGAGAUGAGAUCGGGCUUUUAGCUGAAGAACUCCUUCAACUCUCAGUCAAAGGAUCGAUGGUGGUGCCGAGUGAGAAGUCUAAUCUGAUCUGCACAAUUUAGACUGAAAAAUUGUAUAAUCAAUAUAGUUUGAAAGCACAAAUGAGGAGUAUAUGGAAUACAAGAAAGAAAUUUGAGUUUCAGACGGUAGGGCAGAAUUUGUUCUUAACUGAAUUUGAUCUUGAAGAGGAUCUGGAGACAAUAAUGGAGGGGAGACCAUGGCUUUUCAUUAAGAGUCUUAUUUUAUUUAAUAGGUUAUCUUAACCAGUAGAAAGAACUAAGAUUUGGCUUAUUUCUUCUCUUUUUUGGUUGAAAAUAGGGGCGUGUUUACCAGAGUACGACAAAAAAGAUCUGUUGCAUGCAAUUGGAGUCAAAUUUGGAGGUUUAAUAAGAUCCGAGAUCAAUGGUGAGGUGUGUCGUCUUAGGAUCAAUUUAAAUGUACAGAAGUCGCUUCGACGAGGUAUUUUUGUCUCAAUUAAUAAUAUGACUAAGUCAUGGAUCCCUUUUAAGUAUGAAAGUUUACCAAUGUUUUGCUUUGGUUGUGGACGAAUGGGGCAUAGCUUUAAAAAAUGCUCAGUGCUAACUCCAACAGAAAUAAGUAAAAUAGGUGAUGAUUCACCUUACACACUAGCUUCGAAAGCAGAAUCUAAUUUAAUUGGGAAGGAAUGUGUGAAAUUUAGAGCGAUUUUAAAGAGAGAAGGGGCUCAAUGCUCGUAUAUAGGAGAGGAAGAAUCGGUUCUAAGAAGGGCAGUACGCAUAAAGAAGGAAUAAAUAUGAAUGGGAUGCAAAUAACGAAGCUCAAUGGAAAUGGUAAAAAGGACGAUAUGGAAUAAGAGGACACAUCAAUAGCUAAGGAUGAUGACCAGCUGGUGGACAAUAAAUAUCAGUCGGGUAAUGAAUCAUGCUCAUCUAAAAAGAAAGGAUGGAGAAGAAUCGGUCCAAUGGCUACUUUGAUAUAAAGCAGGGAGGUUAAUAAUAAGAGGAAAAGGAAAUUUAUGGAGGAAGAAUGUGUAGUCUGGUGUUUGGAUGGUGGACAAGCAGAGGGAGUUAAAAGAGCGAGAUGGGAGAGUUUAGAGGAAGGUGGGGAAGUCUGGCCUCAAGUAAUGAAUGAGAUCACGGAGGAGAAUAAUCUUUCUGAAUGCACAAAAUCGACGGCUGCCAACUGGCAAGCCGACCGGAAGCCAUGAAACACAUUAGUUGGAAUGUCCGUGAGAUUGGGGAAUCCACGGAUAAUAAGAAGGUUGCGAUAUUUUCUAAAGUAGCAUAAUCCCCAUAUAGUCUUCUUAAUGGAGACAAAAAUUAACAAGCAACGCUUGGAGAUGGUCAGGAGAGGUUAGGGUUUUUUUAAUGGUAUCAUGUUGAAGCGGAAGGUUCGAGAGGUGGAUUAAGUCUAGCGUGGAAAGGUGAUAUUGCAGUUACUUUGAGGAGUUUUUCUAAACAUCAUAUUGAUGUCAUGGUUAAGAAGGACGAUGACAAAGAAGAAUGGAGAUUGACAGGUUUCUAUGGCUCACCUUAUGUUCAAGAUAAGAGUGUUUCUUAGGACUUACUAAGGAAACUAGGACAAGAUAAAAAUCAUCCAUGGUUAGUAUGUGGAGAUUUCAACGAAAUAUUGUACUCGUUUGAAAAAAGAAGAGGGGUACCAAGGGAGGAGCGAAGAAUGAAGGUUUUUCGGGAAACUUUAGAAGUGUGCCAACUAGUAGAUUUGGGAUUUAAGGGAACUUGGUAUACAUGGGAAAGAAGGAAUUUGCCAAAAACUAAUAUAAGAGAAAGACUUGAUAGAGAAGUUGUAAAUGAUAAAUAAAUGCAUAUCUUUCCAACAGGUAAUAUUUGACAUUUACCUCAUUCAAUAUCGAAUCAUUAUCCACUCCUUUUAAAUACAAAAGGGGAAAUAAGUAUAUGGGAAUUCCAAGAUUUAAAUUUGAAGUAUGGUAGACUCUAGAAGAGACAAUGGAAGUAGUAGUUAAAGAUUCAUGGGAAUCAACCAGGGGUACAAUAGUGGAGAAGUUGGAACGGCUACAAAUAGACCUGAAAGAUUGGGAGUGAACAAUUAAAGAAGGGAGGGACGGAUUAAAGAAAAAUCUUACAAGGGAUCUUGAGAUGAUGUUGGCGGAGGAACAAAGUGACGAAAUGAUUGCCAAAAUUAUAGAUACAAAAAUUUCUCUUAAUUUAGGAAUUAACAAAGAUGAGAUUUAUUGGGAAUAAAGGGCAAGAGCAAACUGGCUUCAAACAGGUGAUAAGAAUUCAGCCUUUUUUCAUAGAUUUGCUUCUUAUCGUCGACGAGUGAAUAUAAUCAAUGUGUUGGAGACAGAGGAGGGAGGAGAGGCUACAGAUUCUAACAAGAUUAGUGAAGUGGCUACUCUAUUUUCUAAAAGCUAUUCAAGACAAAUGGUGUCGGAGAUUCAUCUCAUCUUUUAACAGGCAUUGAAAGUAGGGUUUCAACAGAGGUCAAUGAUGCUCUAUUAUCAACUUUUACAGAAGAGAAAGUGUAUUCGGCAUUGAAAGAUAUGGGGCCUACUAAAGCCCCAGGACCGGAUAGUUUUCCAGCACCAUUCUUUCAAAAAUACUGGCACAUAGUAGGUAAAGAUGUCACUAAUUUUUGUUUGGGAAUUUUAAAUAAAAGUCAAAAUUUUGGCUCUCUUGAUCAAACAGAUAUCGUGUUGAUCCCAAAAACUCAAAAUCCUACAAGUCUAAUCAAUUUUAAACCUAUCAGUUUGUGUUCAGUUCUUUGCAAAAUAGUGGCAAAGGCAAUAGCUAACAGAUUUCAAGGAGUAAUUGGUAGGUGUAUUAAUGAGGCACAAAGUGCUUUUAUACCGGGAAGGUUAAUAUCUAAUAAUGUGAUGGCCUAUGAGAUAUUACAUUCUAUUCAGCAAAAGCGAACAAGACUGAAGGGAUACAUGGCGGUUAAACUUGAUAUGAGCAAAGCAUAUGAUAGAGUUGAAUGGAGUUUUCUUCAGGAUAUCAUGUUGCAAAUGGGUUUAGCCAAUAAAUGGGUGGAAUUGAUUAUGAAGUGUAUUUCCACAACAUCUUUUGCGGUUAAUAUAAAUGGGAGUAGAGGAAGAACUUUUCAAUCAUCUCGAGGUCUACGUCAAGGAGAUCCACUAAGCCCUUUUCUUUUUCUUGUAUACAGUGAGGGCCUCUCAUCGUUGAUGAGAUUGGCAAUUAAAAAAGAUGUGGUAAAAGGUGCAAAGGCUAGUAGGAGAGGACCAGUAAUAUCACAUUUGCUUUUCGCAGAUGAUUGUAUAUUGUUUGGUGAGGCAUCAGAUAAGGGAGCGACAACACUAAAGGGUAUUCUGAAGGAGUACGAGAAAUGCUUAGGUCAAUGUGUAAAUUUCAAUAAAUCCACUAUUUUUUACAGUUCGAAUACUCCAAAAAGGAGGAAAGCUGAAGUCUCGACAAUAUUAGGGGUACGAAGCUCUACAAAUCUAGAGAAAUAUCUCGGUCUUCCCAAUGUGGUUAGUAGGAGGAAAAAAGAGUCAUUUCAAAACCUUAAAGAGAAAGUUCAUUCAAGAAUCCAUGGGUGGAGUACUAGAUUUUUAUCACAAGGAGGUAAGGAAGUUUUUAUAAAAUCAAUACUUCAGGCUAUCCCAACUUAUGCGAUGUCAUGUUUCCUUCUUUCAGCUUCUUUUUGUAAAGAAUUAGAAAGCAGUUUUGCUAAACUUUGGUGGCAGAAAGCAUAGGGCAAAAGAGGAAUUCAUUGGUGUCAAUGGAAAAAUUUGUGUCUUUCUAAAGAAGAGGGUGGAAUGGGAUUUCAAAGUAUGGCAAAAUUCAAUAUCGCUUUGCUUGCAAAACAAGGUUGACGAAUUCUAAACAAUCCAGAUUCUUUAGUAACACAAGUUCUCAAAGGAAAAUAUUUCCCGAAUGAUAGCUUUUUAAAGGUGCAGUUGAAGAAUAAUGUUUCAUACAUAUGGAAGAGUAUAUGGGUCGCUCGGAGUACUGUUGAAAUGGGAUUAUGUUGGAAGGUAGGUAGGGGCUCGAAUAUUUUAGUACUUAAUGAUGUGUGGGUACUAGAAUUGAAAAAUAUCAGAUUAACGUCUUUAGUUACUGAUAUGAGUGAUUUUAGAGUUGCUGAGCUGAUUGAUAUUAAUAGCAGAUCAUGGAAAAAAGAGCUGAUAGAAGUUACCUUUCCAGAGGAAGUAGUAGAGAAGAUCCUUCAGACAUCGUUGGUAAAAGAACCCCAUGAAGAUUUUCGAGCCUGAAGUGGUGAACCCUCGGGAAAGUUUACAGUGCGCAGUACCUAUAAACUAUUACAAAACAUAGAAGAAGAGCCUAGAGCUUACGCUUUACAAAACGACUACAAUAAAUUUUACAAAAAGCUAUGGAGUACAAAUAUUCCCUCAAAGAUAAAAAUUACAGUCUGGAAAAUUUCAAAAAUUUUCUUAGCUACAAGGGCCAAUAUGUAUCAACGGAGAGUUUUAAAUAUCAUAGAAUGCCCUCGAUAUGGACGAGGAUCAGAAAGUAUGGACCACCUAUUCGGAGAAUGUUCAAUUUCAGUAACAGCAUGUCAAGAAUUAUCAUAUCAGUAUGUGUUACAAUAACCGAACCUGGAGUUCGCACAGUGGCUCAUUUGGGUGUUUUUGCAGAGUUCUCCAUCUCAGAGUAAGGUUGUCUGCUGUGUAUUAUGGGCAAUUUGGGGUGACAGAAAUAACAGGAUUCACAAGAAGACCAACAAAACUGGAAACGAAAUAGCAUGUUUUGUACAAAGUUACAUCUCAGAGCUAAGUGCGAUAGAACAAAAAAAGACAGGAAAAUGCAAAGUUAUUAGUAAAUAGAAGCCUCCACCUGUAAAGGUCGUGAAGAUCAACUUCGAUGCAGCUUUUGAUGAAAGAUCUCGGCAAUUGUCAAGGGGAUUAGUAGCCAGGAACAGUAAGGGCAGGGUUCUGGUUUCGUGCUCGGAGAUCACGAGUGAGUUGCAUCGGCUUUUGCUGCUGAGGCUCUCACAUGUCGCACAGCAGUUCGACUCGGUAUUAACAUGCAAUAGACAUCAGUUAUCAUUGAGGGUGAUUCAUUAGCAAUAAUAAAGAAGUGCAAGUUGGAUAGUAUAGAUAAUUCACAGAUAGGGGCUUAUAUCUACGACAUUUAGAGGUCACUGUCAAUUUCCAAGAAUUUCAGAUUUGAGUUCAUCCCACGAACAGCAAAUGAACUAGCACAUAGUAUAGCCACUGAAUCAAUGAAGGAAAAGAAAGAGUUUUACCUGAUAGGAUGGGUUCCUAAAUUCGCUGAGAAACAUGCUGACAAAGAGAGGGUGCGAGAACUAGACUGAACACGAAGGUCAGAUGAAACCCUGGAGAGCGUUUGAAAUGGAAAUAAAAAGACAAGGAGAAUACAACUCUCUGUGGAAAUCUGGAUAGGGUUUUGCAGAAAGGAUGAGGAAAAUGUAAGAAUGAAGGCAAAAUGUGAAAUGGAGAGAAGAGAUUAGUAAUCAAUAGCUUCAGUGGAAGAGCUCUCCUUGGAAAUCUGGAAGAGUCAUGAAGAAGAAACGACAGACGAUUAGAUGGGACGGGCAACAGAUUGCUUUUUCUGAUUGGGCAAUGAAACGGUGGUUUUUUAAUUAGGUUUUAGAAUAUACUAUUAUGUUUUAGGAGCCAAAGUAUAUGGGCUUGUUCUUAAGAGAAUGAUGCUGUGUUUUCAUUUAUUAGGCCUAUCUUACAAUUAUUUUCUUAUAGGAUCCAGUAAGGCCAAAUGAGUUAGUCUUGGGCCUGUUGUCCAUUUAUUUUUGUUAUUUUAGGUUUAUGUUAGUAUUUUUUGAUACAUUUUAAUAAAGCCCAAUUGAAAGAUGAUUUUUCAAAAAAAAAAAAAUCAAUAAAAUAUAUAUGUUGACAAAUUUCAACUUUCAACUAAGAUAUGGUAGUAGACUUGCAUAUUAACCCCCCAAAAAAAAAUUAAAGAACAUUCACAAUAAACAAGCCUCUUUCUUUAAUUCCUUAUAAAUUAAAAUAUUUAUUGGAUAAAUUACACUUAUUAUUCAAUUAUUGGUAAAUUUAUUUUUUAUCAUUUAAUGAUGAAUAUUUACAAAAUAAUCACUCAAUUAUUCGGUUUUUUCUUUUUUGGUCAUAAGAACAAUUUUAACCCUCAAUAUAUAUACAUUGCUUCAACUUAGUAUUGAUUCUAAAAAAUUUAACUCUCAACAAUUACACAUUGUGUAAUUUGAUUUUUUUUUUCAAAUUUGCUUUUCUUUAUGAUUCUUUCACUUAAAAAACUAAAAAAACAAAUCUAUCAACUAAAAUUGAUAAAUAAAUAUAUAUAUAUAUCAAAAAUGAAAAUACUCGAAAAUCCAAGGUAAUAAUUUUUAUAUUUUCCUAUUAUUUCAAAAUUCACCCUCAAUAUCACAAAUAAAAGUAAAACUGCGAAAAAGAAAAAAAAAUGAGUAAAUGUUGAGGGUUAAAUUUUUUUGGAAUCAAGACUAAAUUAACACAAUGUAUAAAUAUUAGCGGUAUUAUGCAAAUUUCAAAAGCUGUCAAGUUAUCUUUCCAUUAGUAAUUUAAUGGUUGGUGACCAAAAAAGAAAAAAAUCAAAUAUUAAAAUGAUUAUUUUGUAACUUUUUAUAAUUUAAUGACCCAAAAGAAAUACUAAUAAUUAAUUCACUACUACUGUAAUUUAGAUUAGUGUAUUAUUUUUAAAAUUCAGUUGAUAGAGCACCAGGCUUGUUAUUGGUCGGCCCUUUAAUUAUAACCCAUUGGGUUUUAUCGAAAUUAAGAAGCCCUUUUAUAUAAACCCUAAUUCCUGCUUCACCUUCUCCAGCAAACCCUAGAGCUGCUCGCUUCCCCAUCUACAGGUCUCUUUUUCUUUCCCAUUUCCUUCUAUUUUGUUAUAUUGAUUUCAAUCUUAUUUAUUUUUUGUUUUUAUUUUAUUGGUUUAGGGUUUAAAAAGGGAUUGAGGCAGCUCUAACCAAUGGCUCCCAAGGGUAUUUGCUUUUGAAUUUAGCUUUCACUCCUUUUCUUUACUUUGUAUUUGUAAUGCUUGUUCCAGUUCUGAUUGAUAUAUUUUAUCUAUGUUUUCUUUUUUCUUGUUGUUCGAUGCAUUGAGUAUAUAUAUAUUUUUUCUGUACUCUUUUGCUUUUUAAAAAAAAAAUCAAAAUGGACUGUUAAGUAAGCUUUUGAUUUGUUCUUCUUUACUCUUUCCUGGUGUUGGAUUUAUAAGGAUAUAGAAUAUUACUGAAUAGUUUGUGUUAUUUAACAUGUAUAUGCAUUUCAUUGCUUUGGAAAUUUGGAUACGGGGUUUUCGUUUUCCCCCAUUUUCCGUUAACCGUUUUCAUUGGAAGUGAUAUGAACUUGUGAUGUCUCUCAAGCUAAAUAUAUCAUCUUGGCUUAGUUAUAUAGAUUCAAUGAUUGGGUUAUUAUGGUUUAUUAGAGGUGAUAAUGGUUCGGUUUGGAUAGGUUCUGGAAAAAAAAUUGUGUUUGCUAUGCAGUAAUUUUGGUUUUUAAAAAACCAAACUGAAUUCUGCUGGUUCUGAUUUGUUUGUUUUCCUUAAAAAUAUUUUUAUAUAGUAAUUUUAGUUUUUUUUUUCACUAAAUCAAAUGUGAAAUAUUUAUUCUUAUAUUAUAAAAAUUAUAAAUUAACUAAAAGAUAAAUUUAGGCUCAGUUUGGUUUGGAAAUUUGAACUUAAAACUGAAACAAAUCGAAUACAUUUAAGUAAUAACCGAUUCGUAACAAUAACUAGGGUUAUUUUCUGUAUUCUAGUGGUCCCUUUGAAUAUGUCAAUUGAUAGAGUUAUUUAAAACUUAACUUUUCGUGAUAUUUGUAGAGUAUGGAUUUUGCAAUGGUAAUGGACAUACAUGACUCAAGUUUCUGCUAGAAUUAAAACCUAUUAAUAUAAUGGUGUUUAUAGCUUCUAUUCGUUAAUUAUCUUGAUCAUUGCCUAUUAUGCAGUUGAGAAGAAGGGAGAUGCAAAGGCACAGGCCUUGAAGGCUGCAAAAGCAGUGAAAUCUGGAGCCACUUUUAAGAAGAAGGCCAAGAAGAUCCGAACAAAGGUUACGUUUCACAGGCCAAGGACCUUGAAGAAAGAUAGGAACCCGAAGUAUCCACGCAUUAGUGCCCCACCAAGGAACAAGCUUGACCAUUACCAGAUUCUCAAGUUUCCCCUCACAACUGAGUCAGCCAUGAAGAAGAUCGAGGACAAUAACACUUUAGUAUUUAUUGUUGACAUCCGUGCAGACAAGAAGAAGAUCAAAGAUGCUGUGAAGAAGAUGUAUGAUAUUCAGGCCAAGAAAGUGAACACCUUGAUCAGGUAUAGCUUUAUAUGUGCCUAUUAACCAUUUUUUAUGUUCCAUGAGCUAGUUUAUAUCUUUGGUAGCUAUUUUAUAGCUUAGUGUAUUGUACUGUUUGAUAUAAUCAUUUCUGCACAAGUUUGUUGACUUGUAGAUAAUUUGACACUCAUUUGGCAACUUUUUUGUUAUAAAAGCACAUAUGGAUAACUGAGAAUAACAAUGCUUUGAAUUUUUGUAACAGAGUAUGCCCUAAAUAGUUGCUUAUGAUUGUAUUCUUCAAUUGGGUUUCUUGAUGACCCCAGUUUUGUCGAGUCAUGUUCCUAGGCGCGCAUGAGCCAUGCACCUUAGGACAAGGCAACCAAAGGGCCUUGCAUCUUAGCCCUAAAUGAAGUAGACCACACUUUAGAGUUUGUUAGAUAUGUGAAUUCACACAUGCACACAGAUCCACACAUACAUAUCAUGCUUUUCUCAGGCCAGCUUUUUCUUGCAUCCUGUGCCUUCGAUAAAUAUUAUGUGGACAUUCUUCUUCAUGUACAUGUUUCUCAUGAUGCAGGCCCGAUGGCACAAAGAAGGCAUAUGUUAGGUUGACGCCGGAUUACGAUGCCUUGGAUGUUGCAAACAAAAUCGGAAUUAUCUAAGCAGUUGGCGACUACCUUGUUUUGAAUGCUUUAUUUUUUGUGUUUUGUUGCAAGGUGAGACUGUUAUUUUCAGGUUCAGCUGGAAGAUUUAAGCUUUAGUUUUUUUGUUUUUUAAGGUUGUAAUCUUGCUUUACUGCCACUUAAUCAUCUUUGGUAUAAACUUAAGUCAGAAGGUAUUUAACAUGUUUUCAUAUUUGUUUAAAAUGGUUGAAUGCUUGAAUUUCGGCUAUUCUUACUUACAAAUGACUCAUUGAUGUCUGCUGGCCAUUUGUAAUCUGAUGGUUAUCUGGCUAUUAUAUCACAUACUCGAAUAAUUAUUAUUGAGGUAUUUAAUUUUUUCCAAUAUAAUUUCAUCAAAUAACAGUUUAAAUAUUGCAUUACAGGUUAGAGUAUUUUCUAAAUUUUAAAAUUUUCCCCUUUUAAUUAUGUACUCUAUUUUAGAUGUUUGACUAAUGUAAUGUUAUGAUUUGAACAGAUAUGAAUAUGAAAUCAAUUAAACUCAUUUAACCCAACUCGAAAUGAUUGACGCAUAACCCAAAUCAACCUCUACCUUCUGGUACUGAAUUAUGCCUUGUUACUCUUCUGGAAAAUUCUUGAAAAGAUCACUUUUUUUGAGUAAUAUUAGUUUGUGAAAGCAAAUUAAAGGAACCUAUACGGUGACAUAUUGAUAUUAUUAAGUCCCUGUCACUGCUGAGUGAAGACUACAGAGGUGGAAAGUUGCCCUUAUUUGCUGCAGUUGAAGUCCGAAAGGGGGCACUAAUGGCGUCUCCAUCACUCUUUGCCUAAUUAUUACCCUUUUCUAGUCAUCAAUAUCAGUGACACUUACCAUUUUUUUCUCUUCUAGGAGACUUUCAAAUUUCCGCACCAGUAAUAGAUUUUGGAAUUAAGUUUUGAAUGACCCAAUUAAUUUUUUUUAAAAUUUAGGGGCUUAAUUAAAAUUUUCAGAACUUUAAAGGUUUUAAUAAAACUUUUUAAAAAAUUGACAAUUUUAAUUAAAAAUUUUAAGAUACCUAAUAAAGCUUUUUAAGUGAAUUAAAAUUAUCAUUUUUCACCUAAAUUUUUAGGGUUUAGGUCAACAUGGAAUAUCAAAUGGUUCAAAAAUUAAAAGCAUUUUAAAUUAAACAAGAAAAGUUUCUAUGAAUAGAAAUCAUAGCAUAUGAGUUAUUUAAGCUGGCAUGUUGUGGGUUUUUUUUUAAUUUAAUUUUAUUAUAAUUUGUUAUUAUACUUGUUUUUUUUAUAUAAUAUCUAAAAUAAUUCAUAACUCUUUCUAACCUUAAAUAAGAAGAUAAUACAAUUUAGAGUAUAUUGACACUUAAAGUAAUAACUAUUUUUUUUUUUUUUUGGUUCUUGCACUUCAAAUGAUAGCAUUGCCACUUAUUCUGUAUUUAAGAUAAUUACACUUUAAAUUAAUAACAAACAUAAAAUGUUUAUAAUUAUAAAAAUCAAAUCUCAAAAUUCAAUCAUAAUCCUGUAUUUGAAGCUAAAUUAGAUCCUCUUGAUAUAAAUUAAAAUUUCACAACUAUAAUGCCAUAAAAAAAGGGGGAAAUUGAACAAAAUAUGCAAAAUUACGAUAUAAAAAAAAUAAACCAGAAGUUAAGAAAGUGUAAAACAACUAUGGUAUAUGUAUAUCAUUCAAUUCAACCCCCUAAAAUGAGUAACCAAUUUACACCGCCACUCCCUCAAAAUUUUUUUUUUUUUAUCUUUACAAAAAAGGACACCCAAAAAAGCUUCUGUUAAGAAACUCAUUGGAACCUUUGCCGCUUUGUUACUGUGAUUUGAUUGUUAACGCCAGCGCCAGCACCAGCACCAGAACUUGCAAAACUCAACAUGGCUGUUGAACACAUUUGCCGAGUCCCACGACUCAUUUCAAGGUACUGUGACGAGUUCACUCGUUUUGGGGUGACCACAGGUUUAGAAUCACAGCCAUUGAGGGAAACAGGAGGGAUUUUGAAAGUGUUUGAAGGAGGAGGGUUCCUCCAUUGAGGAAGGGGACCAGCAAGGAGCAGUGUUUGUAAGAGAGGGCGAGCUUCCAUUACAGCUUGUAAAAGCUUGCCCUUUUCAGGCAAAGUCUUGCCCUUUGCAAGCUUGUCAAUCACAGCUGUUUCACCAUCAGGUUUGGGACUCACCAUGGAAGGGACAAAACCACAACCAUUUUGAACCAAGGGCUGAUUAUUCAGAAGCCCCAUUCCAGUUGAAUCAGCAGGCAUUUUAAUGGUGGGAAAAUCUGGUGAAGUGACUGCAUCAAAGAAAGAGUCCACUGGGGGUGAACCAUGUGAUAAACUAUUUGACUCAGUGAUGCUUGAGUUAGUUUUUGCAGCAACCAUGAGAGGAGUUUCAGGUUGGGGGGGAGGACAAGGCAUGAAUUUGUUGAGUAGCUUUUGUAAUUGGUCCCUUGCUUCAUCUCUUUCUUGGUAUGCAAGGUUCAAUAGAUUCACCAUCAACUUUAGCUCCUCCUUGUAUUUCCUUAUCUGCUCAUUGGCUUCCAUUUUCACAGACUCUAGCUCAAUUGAACUGUAUUGCAGCUUCAGUUUCAGCUCAUCAAGAUUCUGUCAAAACCAGAAAAUAAAGACAUAUCAUUAAAUGAAAUGAAUCACUAUAUAAUAAAGCAAAUGAGCCUAGUAGAUCAACAAGAACAACCAGUUCAGAGUUUGGGGAAGAACAGUGUGAAACACUGCUUGGUCCAUGUGGAUCCAAAUGUCAUUCUUUUGUUUUUCUAGUCAAACCAAGAAUUAAUGCAACAUUAAACCAUUUCAAAGAUGGGUAAAAAUGAAAUUCUUUGAAAAGACAUUUGGUUAAUAACAUGUUUUUUGUUCAUGUGCAGCAAUGUAAAGAGUUUUUUUUUUUUUUUAAAGUACAUAUGAAUCUAAUUCUUCAAUAGAAAUUGGACAUUUCAUUCAUCCCAACAAAGUUAACUUUGAGAUACAAAGAAAUGAAAAAAUGAAUAAUCAAAGAAACCCCCAAAAUGGUACCUUAGAAUGGAGACACAAAUGAAAACAAAUGAGCCAAAAUCGCAAAACAAGAAAGAAUGCCAUUAAAACAAAACAGAAAUUGGGGGGGAGGGGGGGAAAGGGACCAACCUCUUGAUAAUUCCACAAGUAACCCAAUUCUUCCAUUUUUAAGGCCAGAAAGGAAAGCAAUGAAUACAAUGAGGGGGGAACAGUGAGAGAAAAAUAUCUAAAAAUUGCUGAAAGAGAGAGAGAGAGAGCGGGGAGGGACUUAAGGAAAAGACAUAGUCAGCCAUUUAUAGAGAAACAAAAGCCAAAUAAAGACAAAAAGAUGGCUCUUUUUUUUUUUUUUAACUGACAUAAUUUUUAUAGACAAGAAGUCCACAUCAAAAAGGGAAAAAAAUGAUAAAACAAAAUUAAGGAAAGCUAUAAACUUUCCAAUUGGAAAUUUUAAGUAAAUAAAAAACCUUUGGAUAGAAUUUUUUUUUAUAAAGAAAAAAUUGCAUUGAAGUGUUGCCAUUAAUUCAGGACGCUUGUCCCCAUCUUAAACCCAAAUUCCUUCCUAUUCACUUUGUAGUCAUUUAGAUUAUUAAAACCCAAGUAAGAUCAUUAGCUAAGGAUGUAAUAAAUAUCAAAACCCUUUCCCUUCUUUUCUUUCAAUGCUUUUUAAACUUUAUGGUCAAUGCUAUUUUAACGCUUUUAAAUGCUACCUUAUAAGAAUUACUCUCAUUUCCAAACACGACUUUGCUCCAUGGAGGGAAUUUUAACUAUUUAUAUUCCAUAUUUGUUGAUAUGAAUAUAAAACAAUGUUUAUAUAUUUAAGUAUACCAGAGUUUUUUUUAGAGGAUUAAAAUUAAAUUAGAUAAUUUUUUAGGAAAUUUAAAAUAUAAUUUACUCAUAUUAUUAAUGAUAAGUAUUAAUCAAAAUAAAAUAUAGUGAGAAAUUUUAAAAUUCACCCACAAAUUUACAUUUUAACCCAAAAAUUAAGCCUAAAAUAAUUAAAUUAAAAUUUGUUUUAAAAAAAGAGAAGGUUUUCAGAUUGUUGAUGAAUUAAAAAAGAAUGGACACUAUGGCUCCCAAAUUGUUUAUAUUAUCUGGCUAGGGGCUGUCCUAGAUUACAUUAUGAACUGCCCAACCAUAUAAUUACUUCACUUUUUCUAUUAAAUAUUCAUCUUCUUUUAACUUUUCCUGCACUUUAUAUAUAUAUUUUUUUCUCUUUUCCAUCUUUUAGUCAAGGUGCCUAACAAUGGCAGAUUUCUAUCCCUAAUUCCACAUGGAUUUUCGUAGUCUUUGUCAGCAUUAUGAAUAUAUAUACACAACAACAACAACAACUGACAAGAAAUUCAAUCAAGGUUUUCAGUUAUUGUCUGUGUUUGGAUUCCUGCCGUUCCAUACACUCAGCCUUUCUUUUUAAAUUCUAAAAACAAUUUUUUUUUUUGCAUGAAAAAGAUAUUAUUUCCUCGAUUGAGUUUUAACUUGAUCAGCAUGAGUAUUGCUGUCAAUAUAGGAAGAUAUGAGUUUGAGUGCACCGAAACAUAUUAUUCUCAUAUUUAUGCGUUGGGGAGACGCUAUGAGUAGUUUUAAAUAUCUUGUGUAAAAAAAAACAGAUAUAAUCAGAACUUAUAAUUAAGUUAUUAAAAAAUAGUUAAUUUUUUCCUUAUUUUAAAACAAAAUAGUUUCUUGCCUUAUUUAGAUGGAAAAUCCUAUCAAAUUAAAGAGUAUGUGAUUUGUAAAAAAAAAAAAAAAAGUUACAGACAAUUUUUAAAAUUAUAAAUGAAUUUUUUAUUCAGUUAAAUAAAUAUAAAUACGUGAUUGUGAUAAUAUCUGUAGUUUCUUAAGAAUCAUUCUGAUCUGAGUCAAAUUACUUUUAAUAAUAAUUUAUAUGUAAUUUAUUUUCUUCCAAUUUAAGAUUCAAUGAAUUUUCCAUAUAUUGGUCAGCUUUUAUUAGGAAAAAAAAUACUUGCAUUUUUUCUGCAUAGCAGAUAUAUCAUGAUCUUGUAUAUGAUAAUAUACUUAAUUAUGCAAAACAAAAAAUACUUAUCCAUUAAUAAAUUUAAUAUGAAUUUAUAUUUAAUUUUAAGUUUAUUUUAAUACAUUUAAAAUUUAAUCCUUCUACUUUUAAUCCCAAUAGUUAAGUCUCUUUAUGCUUUUGAUAUAAUAAUUAAAGUCUGACUAUUAACCUCAUCAAAAUAAUUUUAUUAAUUAAAUUACAUGACAUUUUGAAAAUAAAAAAAAUUCCUCACAUCGCUAACUUAAAACAUCGUGGAAGUUAUGUAAGAAAAGAAAAAAGUCGGCUGUCACUUUACUUCUUUAAAUCCAUGUUGAGGAACCUUAAAUCUACGAAUUUAAAAUAAUAAUAAUAAUAAUAAAACUUUAACAAUCCAAUAUUUAAUAUUUUAUUUACUUAUUUGGUUUUCAAGGGCGUGUAAUACUAGCCACAUGAGCAAAUUACUUUAUUUUAAAUAUGUCAAAUAACUCAAUUUAUUUGAAUUGCACUGAACUGGAUUGUAAUUACUAAACCAUAAGAGAAGGAUUAAAUUCCUAUAGUAUUAAAAGUAAAGUAACCAUUCUCAAAUCCGUCGUAUCACAACAAAAAUUCAUGCAAAACAAAACCCUAAGUUUGGUAUUCAUGCAUUCCCUUUUGUUUAAACAAGAAAUCCAACAACAUAAAACCUCGUUCUGACAGAACAAAAGAACAUGAACUAUGUUUUUCUAAAAUGGAAAAAUCCGACAAUUCGGUUUCGGCACACUUCCCCAUGUUAUCUAAAAUUUAUAGGACAAAAACUACCAUACAUCUUUAAUCAUCUCAUUAUUUCUUAAUCCAGCUGUUAAUCUCAAGGUCCUACACUUCCACCUGGGUAAUGCUAAGAAUAAUUUGUGAGCUUUUCAUAAUAUAUAUAUAUAUAUAUAUAUUUGGCUUAAGAAGCUGACAAAAGCUGCUGGAUUUUAAAUUAGUACUUGACAAAGAUGUUAAAUUAAAAUAAAUAAAUAAAUAAAUCAGGUGUCCUUAAUACAAUGAACCUAGUUACUUGUAAGAGUGCACGAGACAUCGUAUUUAUUUCUUUUCUUUUCUUUUUUUUUUAAUCUUUUGCGUUAUCGGUUGGAUACUUUACAUUAAAUUUGUCUACCACUAUAUUUUAAUACAUUUAUAAUUUAUAUAAAUUUUAUUAAUAAUUUGUUUUAUUACGACUGAUAUAUCCUUUGAUUUUUAUAUAUUAUUAAAAUGGUAAAAUUAUAUUUUAAUUUUUUAUUAAAAUUUUAAAUUUUUUAAUAAUUCUUUUCUUCUUGUUUUGCCCCUAUACAUUAUGUAAAUCUCAUGACAUACGUGUACUUAGGUAAUGUUAUAAUAAUGAGUUGACCCAAAUUUUCUAUGUUUGGAUAGUAAAAAAAAAAAAAAAAACCUAAUUAAGUUGAACAAGUAACUCAAAUCUCACACACUUCAAUUGUUAUGCUAUCAUAUUUCUUUUGGUUGACUAUGUGUUAUUAAAGUUACAAUUUAAUGCAUUAGUUGUGUGUAAUAUUAUUUAAAGGUUAGUAUAUUUUUUAUAAUUUUUUUAAAUAAUUUGUCUUCAUUUAAUUUACUAUAUAAAAUUAUACACUUUCAAUACAUCGGAUAUGAUAGUAAUCGAAAGUCAAUCAUGGAUUUUCAACUCAAAAAAGAGAUUUUGAAAUAUGAAUAUCAAUGCGAUAAAAAUCAAACCAAUAAUUGAACCGAUCAAAUCAUCAAUAAUGGUUGUAAAAUUUUUAAAAAAAAUCUAGAAAAUUUAUAAAAAUGAUAAAUAAUUAGAAAAAAAAUAUUUUAUAAAUUAUAAAAAAUAAUUUAAAUUCAAUUCAAAUGUUUUUUUAAUCGGUUCAACUGAUUUUAACAUUUAGUUAACUAUUCAUUCGAGUUUUUGCUUGAUUCUAACAAUUAUUUGUGUUUUUGAAAAGUAAAGAGGGUAUACAGACCUACUAAAUAAAUUAAAAGGGUAAUUAGCUCAAAAAAUAUAAUACCAAUUAAAAUAAAUUCAGAUUAAGAAACGGUCGAAUAAAGUGGAGACCAGUUCCCACUUUUUACUAUUAUUACCUAUUUUAGGUUCUUAACAAGUAACGACUUUACCUGUCUAACUGUUGAAGUGAAAACCUUCAACAUUCAACUAUUGUCAUUUAUCACCCAACAAAAAAAAAAAAAAGAAUUUUUAUGUUUUUGUUUACCUUUAUCAGCACUGUGCCAUGAGCUUUCUAUGCUCAAGCAUUUUCUUUGGUCAAAAUUUUUAGAUUCAUUGCAUUGUCUCAUUAAAAACAUGGAGAUAGCCAAAUUGAUAUUCAAUAAAACACGUCAUUAAGGAGUAGGAUAAUAUUCGGUUAUGAUAUUUUAAUUAUUAUCUGUAAUUAUCCAAAAAGAAUGUAUAUAUUUACAAUAGGAAAUUUAUUAUUUAAACCAAUUUACUUUUGAGAAUAACAUGUUGGAAUUUUGAUAUCCAUUAUUCAAAAUUUUUUAAUAUUUAAUUUUUGUUAAAUAGUUACACUAGAUUUAUGUGAAAUUUAAAAUUGAGCCAUAACAAACCUUAAACGGGAAAGACCAUAGAAGCAAAUUAAAAUGUCGUUUAUUUUUAGGAUAUAAUAAAACAAAAAAAAAUGUAAUAAUGUUUCUUCACUACCAGCAUAUUAAAUACGAAUCUAUAAAUACAUUCAUAUUAGAGAAGAGAAAGAGAAAAGAAAGGUCUUUUUCCACGCAUAAAAGGAGGUGGGGUUGUUUUUUUCGGUUUUGGAAGUACUGUGGUAGCCAAUGGGGUUGUCAUUUAGUGCACAUCCGCACAUGGCGGUUAGGUAAUGAGUCAUGUGCCAGCAUUUGGCCGCGUUAUGGUGGUGGAAUAUAGUUGUAAGGAAGAGACAAAACAGCAGAGUCGCCGUGCGGAGCCGAAACCACGUGCCAUGUGUGCCGCUAUUUCACGACACUUGGCGUAUGGACCGUGGAGUGUGGCACAUGCCUCUGUUGUCUCUUCUUUUUUAUUUAUUCUAAUCCAAAUUUGGUAGGUCGCUCGUGCCUCACCUUUGCUAUCUAUAUAAUUUUGACUUCAAUCACAGAAUUUUCAGACUAACAAGUACACGCCUAGAUUACGAUUAGACCUGUCCAUUCCCACUUUAACUGCCCGACCCGGCCCGUCAGCCCAACUCAUAUUUUAGAUCAUUGUUACAAAUUUUCACAGUAUGUUCAAUACAACCACAACUGUAACAAACAUCAUUAAGUCUUUCAUACCUGAUUGAUGCUCACAACUUCUCUUUAUUUGGCCUUGGUACCCAGAAUCCCUCUACCAAUGUAUAGCAAAUUUGCACCUCAAUUCGGACCCUAAGGAAACUCCUUCCAGUUCCAUUUCUACUGAUCAAAUCAUCUAUUUGAACUACCGUCCCUAACUUUUCACCCAAUGAUCUUUGCAUUCUUAGUACUCAUUAGAUUCAUUGGAAGAUUGUGAAUCUGAAUCCAAAAUUGGAUGCCGGAGAUAUCUAACUCAAAAACCAUUGUAUCUCCCUCCAUAUGUGAAACUCUAUUGGGUGACCCAUAACUAUACAUGGCCCCUCAUUUAUGGUUUUCCUCAUCCAUUUCUCUUUGCUAAAUGAAAUUGAAUAAGUGUUAUCUCCAACAUCCCGAACACAAAAACAAGAAUCAACUGCCUAAAUACUCUUUAAAAUCCUCAAAACUCUCUUUUGAUUUAAAAUACGAUAAGAGAUUACCAUGAAUUUUGACAUCUGCUUUGAUUGAAUAUUCUUAUCUUCCAAUUGGAUCUCUAUAAUACCAAUAAAAAUUCUAACAAGAAUAAAUAGAUUGCUAACAUAGCGACUGAAAAUGAAAGAAAUAAUACUUCUAUCUCUUUACUCAAAAGAGAAGGAAAAAAAAUUAAGUAAAAAAACCUAGGCUCCAAAUAAAUUAUUCAAUAUAACUUAACGAAAAAAUUUUAAUCCUAGAUUGAUCUAGACUCAAGAAAAGAGGUUAAACUCAGACUUACUCAAGGAGAAAAUUUUAAUAACUCUACCAACAAAGAUGUUAACAACUUCAGAAUAACAAAAUUGAAACAUUAACUGAUCACUAAACGUGUUAAAAUUUCUGUUAAUUCGAAUAAAUUGAUAAAUUGUGUUAAAUUAAAUUUUUUUUUUAAUGUCUUCUAUUAAUCCAACCAAAUUUUCUUUUUCUAUAAAUUAAUUUGAUUAAAAUCGAGUAAUGCGCACUAUGGGAUUCAGUCUACAAACGGCACUUACAUAGGCAACAACAACAAAAACCAGCUUUGUGAGUGGGAGAUAUUUAGGGGGUCAACUCCUUUUGAUGAGACGCCAUUGGAUUUUAACCAUUGUUCAAUGCUCAAAGAUGGAUCGACCUUCUUAUGAUAGCCGAAAUCCUCCUUUUUCUCCUUUUGCCCAUUUAUUACGGACCGUACAAUAAGGAAUUACUUGAUGUAAUCAACUUAUUUGUCAGUGAACAAAACAAUCUAUUUGGUCUAACCCAUAAGAAAUUUGAUAUUUUAAAAUAAAAUUUAAUUGAGAUUUUAUGUGAAAAAAUUGAAAGAGACAUUUAAACAUGAAAAGCAGAAAGUAGAAAGGAUGGUAACGAAAUGCGUUUACUCCUUCCAGUUCAAGAACGUGAUACUAGAAAGGUUAUACCGUCUUGACGAGGAUAAGGAGAAAAAGGAAAAAGAUAUUUUAAAAAAUCAACCUUAAAUAAUUUACCUCUCUUUUUCGUCAACCAAUAAAUAUACUUCUGCAUGGUAAAAUAAGGAGGAGAAUUAAUGAAUAAUAAUUACAUGUUAUAAUGAUUGGAAUAAUUUUUAUUCCCUUUUCAUCUUAGGUUGAAACCAUGAGCUAAAAAAGCAAGGUUUCCAUGGUGGAUCUAUUGAGAGACCUUUGGUUCAAAUAUUUGUCAAAAUCUGCUACUUUUGACACUGCUGUAUAAGAUUUUAAGAGUAAGAGUAUAACUAUUAGAUUGGGGUUUUGAAUUAGGUGGAUGUGAUUGGAUUAAUUCGAUUUUUUAAAAAAUUAAGUCAUUUUGUGUUUAGUGUUGUUUCCAAUUUAAGUAGGUUAUUUUUAUUUGUCAAUCUUAAUUUUUUGGGUCUAAUUUGUCAAAAUUUAGGUGAGAUUUUUUUUGUUGUUGAUAUUUUUGGAAUUUUAUUUUAACCCUUAUAAUUAAUAUUUACAAAUGUGAUAAUUUGUCUUCGGUCCCGAAGAUUUUUAAAUUUGAUUUUAUUUUGCGCUUGGUCUCUAAAAUCCUUUUACUCAUACAUUGAACUUCAUCUUUAAUUUUAGAUUUAAAUUAUUUUAAGAUCAGAUCAUUUAAAUUUAAUCAUUCAAAUCUACCGUUAUAAUUUUUGUAAUAGAGUUAUUAUGGUUUGAAAUCCUAUAAUUUUUAAUUUCUUUUGCCCAUUUGCUACGGACCGUACAAGAAGGAUUACUUGAUGCAAAGAAAAUUGCUAAAUAUCUAUCAAUUGUUCCAUUCUCCAAAGAGAAGAAGUUUCAUAUACGACAUGGAAAUUUUUAAGUAGUGCUCUUUCAUGAAAUUGAAAACUAUAAUGCAUGGUAAAUGACUAGCUGUAGCAAUGACUGCCAUCCAAUGUGUCUACUCCUCCAUGUUCAAUAACAUGACAGUUAAAGGAUUAUAACGUGUUGACGAGGAUAAGAAAAAAUUUUAAAUAUCUAACCUUAAAUAAUUAAAGAGGUGUUGAAAUUAUGAGCUAAAAUUAAAUUAAUCAAUUUCUUCCAUUAAUUUUACUGUAAGUUUGACAUGUUCGAAAAUAUGGAAUAAUCCAUAUAUGUUUUAAAAAAACAAUUGCUUUAAGUUAAAAUUAGUAUUAAAUACCAAAGUUGAUAGAUAGAUUUAAAGGUGAACAAAAGUUGGUGUAAAACAACUCAACCCAUUUAAUUUACACAAAUGGUUUUGUUGGUUUGAGUUAAAUAAAUUAUUCUGAUCAAAUCAAUUUAGAAUUUGAUUAAAAUAAUUAAGUCGAUUGAUUUACAAUGAAUGAAAUUCAUAACUUAAUUAAUUCAUUGACUUUAAUACAUAUUUUUAAAUAUGUUAAAAUAUAAUAAAUAUAUAGUAUAUAAUUUAAAUUAAUCCAACCUAACUCAAAUUAUUUUAACCUAAUUUAACUCGACCUAAAUAUUAUAUAACUUAUUUAUAAAAAAAAAAAAAGAAUUGGAUUAAGACCUAUGAUGGUCGGUUAAAAAGUCAUGAAAACCGAUCAAAUUGGCUUAGAAACCCGAUUUCUCUCUACUUUAUUUUGAAGAUUUAAUUGAAACAUUUUAAAAAUGGGUAAAUUAUAAAAAUAGUUAUUUAUGUUUAAAAUAUUACGUUUUAGUCACUUAUAUUAUCAUUUUAUUACAAAGUGGUCACUCUACUGUUAAACUUUAUUACCUCCCUAAUGACAGUCCUAUAUAGUAGUCUAAAUGGGUUUUAAAUGCCAACUUGGAUGUCUAGCUGCUGGGAUGAAAAUGAGUUUUUAAUUAAAUAAUUUUAAUUUGGACUACCACAUAAAAUAUCCAAGUUGGCAUUUAAAACCCAUUUGGACUGCCACGUAGAACCAUUGUUAGGGAGGUAAUGAAGUUUAACAGUAGAGUGACCACUUCGUAACAAAAUGAUAAUAUAAGUGACUAAAAUAUAAUCUGAGACAAACUAAAGUGACUAUUUUUAUAGUUUUACCCUUUUGAAAUUUGGUCCAUUAGUUGGGAAUGUUUGAUGGGAUUAAUCCAUAACUAAACUAAUUAUGCUCCGUUUAGAAAAGUACAUCAUGUUAUAAUGAUUAAAAGUCAAGAUGAUUAGAGAAUAAAGCUUAUAUUUUUCUUCUUUCCCUUUAGUCCAUAUAAUGACAUCUCAUGAAGUACUUAAUUUCACACUGUUUGAAAUCCUCACCAAAAUUUCUAUAUUUCUUCAAUCCAGCCAAACUCGUGCACCGUCAUGCUUUUGAAAUUAUGAGCUAUAAAGCCGAAGCUUCCCAUGGCCAUCUAUCCAAAGACCGUUUUAUUAAAAUGGUUGUCAAAAUGUGCUGAGUUUUAGCUUUUAAGACGACUAGCCAAUUAGGAGCAUAAUUGUAAAUUUGGUAAGUUAGGCCGGUUUAGUCAAUUAGAUCAAUUUUUCUAUCAUUACAUUCAAGUUAUUUUAAAUCUAUAAUCAGAUCGAAUUGAAUUAAUUUUAUAACUCAAAUUAAUCGUAUUAAUUAUACUAUGGACACAAAAUGCAUGACAUAUUCACACGAGUUAAAAUAAUAAUUAUCAUAAAAAUUGCGAUAUAUGUUCAAUUGCAGUUAAUAAUUACUAUAGGUAAAAUAGAGAUAGUUGUCAAAAGUUUAUUUAUGCAAUUUGAAAAUUUUGUACGAUAAUUCAUCGUCAAUCAAUUUGUACUAGACAUGACUUAUAUUUAAUUCACUCACCAAAUUGUAACUUUAUUCCCAUGCACAGUUUAGAUCAUUCUUCUACUAAGACUUCUCCUUUGAAAGUUUAAAUAGGUUCACUCAAAGUCCUUUAUAAUCUAUUUAACUUGAACAAGUUGUGUAUAUAAAUAGUUAAAGAAGACUUGUUAAGUUAUAAUAAAUUGCAAAUACAUAUUGCACUAAAAUAAUAACGGUCUUCAAAGAAUCUUCAAUUAUUCUUGUAAUGACAUAAAUCUUUUGAAUAUUAAACUCUCUUUUAAGAUCCAUAGAUCUUCUACAUGGUAUAGGUACUUAGGAGAAUUAUAGAAUUUUGAAAGAGAAAAAAGAAUUUUAUUAAAAAUUAAUAAUUAGAUAACCCUGAUUUAUUGCAAUCAACACCCAAUUUAUUACAAGAAAUACCCAAAUAUUAUAUAAAUGAAAACAAGGGGACUCCUUAUUCUGAUUACAACCAGACUGCAUAUCGACCCAUAUCCUAAAUGAUUAAAUUGUAGAAAUUGUUGCUGGAAAUGGUGCAACAGCUCCCAUGGAAAGUAUUUUUUUGACUGCAUAAAAUACAUGAGUUGGAUGAUAUAAAAAUGAAUGUUCGGGAUGUAAACUUUGAGCCAACCCGGUCCCUAGAGGCAAGUCAUAUUCUAAGCACAUGUAGGAACAUCAUUUCAUAGGUUCCCCUAACAUAUUUUGAUGAACAAAUCUUUCCAAUUUCAGUACAGAUUUGACCAAACAAAACAAAGGGUGGAACAUAUGGUUUUGAAUGUAGAUUCUCCAAUGACAACAUUCCCUUUUGGAUCAUUCACUCAGCAUGAAUACAACAAUAAUCCAGUCUAAAAGUUUGAACAAAUUUAUUGAUCAACUUUUGGUUGCAGGAAAAUUAAUUAAAGCUCGAAACUGGUCACCUAGACUCAUCCACUGCAUUAAAUUUGAAAUGCCAUAAAGUAGUUGCAUGGCGGCAUAUGGAUCAAUCAUCAAGCUGGUCUCGAAAUGAUAUUAUCACAAACAUUGCAAUUUUGAGUUAAUUAAUACCCGAAAGUAGAGAAAUAUUGAAUCCAAAAAGUUUGACCAUAAUAAUUCAUAUUAAGUAGUAUGGCUAACUUGAUGAAUAAAUUCCAUCAAGAAGUGAGACACAAAUAUUUUGAUGACAAAUUUGGAUCAUUUUCAACUACCUUCCAACAAAAAAGCUGGCAAUUUUUUUAUUUGCAAAUGAAAACUUAUAAAUUCAUUAAUUUUUUUUAUGUAAUAUGUGACAUAACAUUAUAUAUGUGAUAAUAUAUCCUUCACAUAAAAUAAUGGUAAUAACAAUUUAAAAUCAUUAUUUAGUCAGGAUUUAAAAUUUCAAAACUCGAAAAAUAUAAUAAUUAAAAAUAACCAAAUUAAGAUAUAAUCAUAAUUUAGGUUUAAUAAAAAACUAAUAACAAAUUUUAACUCAAGUAAAAAAAAAAAAAACAUUUCCGAAACAAAUAUGUGCGUGUAUAUAUAUAUAUAAGAGAAGUAUCUGACAGAGAAAUUAGUGUGUUUUUGUACGUCGAAUAUAUUUAUUAUUUAAAAUAAAAAAUAAAUCAGGUUUAAUUAUUUUGAUAAUAAUUUUUAGGAAAUUAUAUAAUCAUUAAUUAUUUAAUUAGUUGUAAUAACUCUAAUUUAAGAAUGAAGAUACUAAAAAAGGAGGGAAUUGGGCCAACGUAGAAAAAUCAGCUUUGUUAAAAGCCUAGCCUUUUAUCAUAUAAUUUGGGCUUACCGUAGGCCAGCUACUUGGACUUAUAGAAUGUACAAGGUAUCGCUUCACCGGUCAUAAUAAUCAUUUCAUACUUUUUUUUUUUUUUUCAAUUUAGUAUUUAAAGUAUCAAUUUCUUCUACUUUUGGUCCAUUUUAUAAUGAUGGUUAAAAAAAAUUCAUUAGGCAAUUUUGGCCAAUGAAAAAGCAACUCGUGAUAUGUUUUGAGAAAUAAAAAACAUCACAUGGAAAUUAAGUUUAUUUAAAUUAAAAAAUAAAAAUUAUAAUAUUAAAUAUUUAAAUAUUAGAAAUUCCUUUUGAUUUUGAUUGGCUACGUUUUGUAUUAGAAUACACUAUGUGUCUCUUUUUUCUUAUUUUUCCAAUAUUAUAUUAUAUUGAUUAAAAUGUAAAAAAUAACAUAUAAUAUAUAUUUUUAAAAAAUUAAAAGUAUUUUUUAUAAAAUUCUAAAAAAUAUAUUAUAUUUUUUAAAUUUUUAAUUUAUAUUUAAUGUUUUUAUUUUAAAUAAAUCUAAUUGUCAUGUGGUAUUUUUUUUUAUUAGUCAAAACAUGUCGCAUGCCACUUUUCCAUUGGCCAAAGUUGCUUAAUGAAAAUUUUGUUUAGCAGUUGUUACAAAAUGGAUCAAAAAUAAAGGAAAUUGACAUUUUAGGUACCAAAGUGAAAAUUGAGUAUACUUGAAGGCCAAACCAUUAAUUAAGCCAAAAAAAAACAAAACUUUGGACACAAUACAACUCUUGUGAUUGAUCUAGUGGCUAAGAGAUAUUGACACAUAGAGCUCAUCUGGGUUUGAGUUUUUAGGGCUUUUAUUCAAAUUACCUUUGAACAUAAUGUGUAUGUGUGAGUUUUCAAAAGCUAGCUUGAGUGUUAAAUUAUAAAUUUGCCUACCAUUUAUAUUAAUUAUAAAAGAAAUUUAUGAUUUAUAGAUUCAAAUUAAAUUUUACAAAUAAUUAAUAAAUUAUAUUAAUUAUCUAAAUUUAUAUUUCAUAUAUCACAAAAUUAUAAAUGGGUUACCUUAAAUUAUUUUAUUUUGUUUAUACAAUAAUCUCAGUUAAAUAUUUGUUAACACCAAAAUACUACUAACUUAGCAUUGUGGUAAAUAAUAACACAUGAAAAUAAUGAUACUUUAAUUUGAGUAAAUUAUCAUUUUUAUUUAUAGCUUAAGAUUAUAUAUUUCAUAUACCACAAUAGAUUAUAUAUUUCAUAUACCACAAUACAAACAAAUUCGAGUUUAUAUAUUACAUGUACAUAUUUCAUAAUAUUAAUUACUUAACAACUUGUUUUUUAUUUUUACUAUAAUCUAAGCUUAUAUAUUUCAUAUAUAAAUGAAUCUAAAUACAUAUUCUCUACUUUACAACACUGCAAAUACUCAAUUUUCGCUACUAACAUUUUAUCUCUUCUUUGAGAUAAAUUAUAUUGUAUUUAAGAAAAUUGUGCUAUCAAGCGUGGAACAACUAGUUUUGUCGUUUUAGUUGAUAUCUCUUUCGGAGCCACAACUCUUGUUUAGAAUAGUUGUUGUUCAGAACAACUGUUGUUUGAGAAUAAUUAUGUUCAGGAUAAGACUUUAGUUUAAACAACUGUCAUUCAAUGUAGUUGUCCUUAUAGAACAACUCCUGUUGAAAACAACUAAAGUUCGAAACAACUCUUGUUUAGAAUAAUGGUGUUUCAAAAAUAGCUAUGUUUAGAACAACCAUUUUUUGGAACAACUUGUAUUUAGAACAAUUGUGUUUUUCCGGAAGAGUCAUUAUUCAAAACAAGCUUUACCUAGAAAAGCAUCACCACAAAAAAACUCUAGUUUGGAACAACGUCUGCAUUGAGAACAACUCAUGUUUGAAACAAGUCAAAAUAACCAUUAUUCAGGAACAACUCUCAUCCAAGAACAACCAUUAUCUUGCAUUUCAGGAGAUGUUUUGCAAAAAUGUUUCAAAUGGUACCACUUCCAACGUAGAAAAAGUGGAAGUAACCCCGAAAUAUGUCAACGUUCUUAGAUUAUCUUCACUUUUGGGAUGUUUUGAAGAGCUUGACAUGGUGGAUCAGAUAAGGUAAUUAAAAGGGUUUUCUUUUAGUACUUUUUUGUAACAUUGUGUGCUUCUCUCUUCUUUUAUGAACAUAAUGAAUUCUUGUUCACUAUUUACUAUCACCUACAAAAUCCUUUCAUAAAAAAAGAAAGCUAUUAGCUUUUAUAACUGGAAAAUAUCUAUCAUUACUUUUAUUAAUUAUUAGCUUUGUAACUUCUAUCCUUGAAACGCUAUAAAUAAAAGCCUUUCACAAUCGGUGAAAGGGCUUUGGCACUUUGAAAUUUUGACUCUUAAAAGUCUCUCUAAAAUUGUUUUAUUUGUUUAGCCUUAUCGUCAACAUAAUUUCCCUUUCUCCACCUUACCAACCACCACCUACCACUAUGUUUAGUACUAUUGGAUCUGUUCUAGUCUUCCUGUCCCCCUUCUUCCCGUUCAUCUCGUUUACUUGUUUGCAACACUACCUCUCUCCACCAAAGAGCCCUCUACAAACACCAUUCUAAAAUGAAUAUUUUAUUUUCUUAAACUCACUUUUUGACACUAGUAAUGUAAUGGCCUAAAUUUAAUGUUAUCGGAACAGUGGUUUCAUAACCACAAAUUUGAUUAAAUUUAUUUUAAUAUUUUUGCAUGAAUAUUGAUAUGAUAGGAAAAUCGUAUGAAAAUAUCGAUAGAAAAAUUUUAUCGAUUUAGUGAUUAGUUAGAAAAAGAAAUUAUUGAAGAAAUUGGGUAAAAACAAGGUAUCGAGACCUCAAUCUCAUAAAACUAAGUCAAAAAUAUUUUUAUAAAUAUUUAUGAAAUGUUAGUAAUAUUGUAUUAAAAUUUCGUUAGGAAAUUUUUACGUUUGGGUAGUUAAUUAAUUAAAAAGGACUAAAUUGAAAAAGGUGUAAAAGUUACUAAAAGGAUUAAAUAGCUCAAUUGUUAAAUGAGGAGGGACAUAAAUUGAAAAUAAGCCCAAAAGGAGAUAUUUUGGACGGCAUAAGCUGAGAAAAAUCAGGAGAAUUGGUGAAAUAAGGGCAAAAUGAGAAAAUAACAAAAUUUAGGCUUUUUUUACAAAAAUAACCCAAAAAUUUUAAUUAAUUAUCAAAAUGACCUAUUUUUUAAUUAAAUACAAAAAUAACCUGAAAUCUACAGUAAAAGUUGGUGGAGCCAAAUGAUUUGGUGCCACCAACAUGCCAUGUCAGCAUUCACGAAAAAAAAUUAAUUUUUUUGGUGAAGCCAUGUAGAAUGGCGUCACCUGUAUAAAUACCAUGGAAAUAACGCAAGUUCUAAAAAUUUGAGGGACUUCAAAAUAAAUUUAUCAUUUUUUAGUGGAACCAAUUAAUUUAGCGCCACCAGAUUUCCUUGACACCACCUGUUACUUUCUUCUUCUUUUUUUUUUUUACUUUUUUACUUUCGUCCUUUCUUUUAACUUUUGUUUUUAUCUUUAUUUUAUUUUAUUUUAUUUUAUUUUACUUAUUUUUUAUUAUUAAUUUUAAAAAAUUUGAAAUGUAUAUUUGAAAUAUUUUAUAAUAUAUAUUUUUAAAUUUUAAAUAUAUAUUUUUGGAAUUAUUUUUUAAAAUUUUAAAUAUAUAUUUUUGAAAUUAUUUUUUAAAAUUUUAAAUAUUAUUUUUUAAAUAUUAAAUAUAUAUUUUUAAUAAUAUAAAAUAUUUAAAUAUUUUAAAUAUAUGACCUUUCAAAUUUAUUAUUCGUUUUAUAAUAUUUUAAAUGUAUAUUUUAAAUUUUAAAUAUUUUUUAAAUUUGUUUUAUAAUAUUUUAAAUUAUAAUUUUUAAAUUAUUUAAAAUAUAUUAUUUUUAAAGAUAUGACAUUUCAAAUUUAUUAUUUGUUUUAUAAUAUUUUAAAUAUAUAUUUUAAAUAUUUUUAAAUUUAAAUAAUUUUUUAUAAAUUAUUAAUUUUAAAAUUAAUAAAGAUAUUUAAACGUUUUUAAAUUAAAUUUAAAAUUUUAAGAAUUAAUAUUUUAUUUGGUGGAGCCAUUUAGAAUGGCUCCAUCACUUUAUAAUGUACUUUUUUAUAUUUUUUAAUAUAAAAUUUUAAUAUUUAAUAUUUUAUUUUUGUGGACCCAUUCUUCAUGGCUCUACCUUUUGGUUCUCUACCAUCUAUAGAAUGGUGAAAUUGUUGUGCUUUGUAGGAGAGUUCAAAAAAUCUAUCCAAUAUGAAUAAUGAGGUGUUUUUGUUGUAUGUUCUUUUUUAUGGUGAAAUUAUAGAAAGUGAUGUUGGUUGUGUAUUUCGAGGUCGGCAAAGAGUAGGUUUGCGAUUAAAAAAAAAGUGAAGCUAGCAGAAAUGAAAAGAAAGAUUAGUGCAAAAAUAGCUAUACGUUGUGGAAGGGUGAUGUCUAAAUUAUUUUACAAGUUUCCAGUCUCUACAUAUCCGUUCAAAUUUUGUGAAAUGUAGUUGUUAGAUGAUGAUGACUUGGGCACUAUGAUGGAAAUAUGGUGGUCGACUCGGAGUGAGAACCCUCAACCAGUUGAAUUAUUUGUCGAGUUAGCAAACUUAGAGCCUGUUGAGAAUGUUAGUCCAAUAAGUCAAUAUCGCAAAUUUGACUUUGAUCUUAAUGUUGGAUGGACAGACCAAUUAGAAUGUGAAGAGACAUCGCAGAUACUCAAAAGUCCUAAUUAUGGUGGGAGUUCGUAUAACAACCCUACCCCCGGUCCCCGUCUACAAAUACAUCAGGAGGUGAUAAUAAGCACAGAGGCAAAUGUCAGAGAAAUGACAAACAAUAAUGAAGAUUCUGAUCAAGAUGUUGAAGAUUUUAGUGACCCUAAUGUUGAUGAAGUUCUGGACAAUAUCGAUGAUGAAGGCCGCGAAGAGGUUGAAGAUGUUUACGGCCCUUCAUUCAGUAACCCGAGUUGUGGCAUUAUUUUACAAAAUGAACCUGGGGGCGACAUGUUGAACAUAGAUCCAGAUGUAGCGCAUGGGUCUGAGUUUCCUGAGUACGCCGAUUUAAUACCUACUCAUAGAUUGGCGAUAAAUUCACAGUUCGAGGAUUUGUUCGUUGGGCAACAGUUCGAGAAUAAGGCGGACUGUGUGUUUGCCAUCAAACAAUACAGCAUGAAGUUGUCGAUUGAUUACAAGGUUGUCAAAUCUACAACGACAUUAUAUGUUAGGGACUGUUAGAGAUCCGGCGAUAGGUGUGGUUGGCGAGUUCGAGUUGCAUUUAUACAGAUGACUCAACAGUGGCAAAUACGAAAAUUAGAAGCGUGUCAUACAUGUACUGUCGCACGUAUGUCUCAAAACCACUGAAAAUUGGAUGCCAAAAGUAUUUGCAAUUGUAUCAUGCCACUAGUGAAAGAUAGCCCAAUCAUUCCUGUGUCAACAUUGAUUGCAGACAUGCAAGCUAGAUUUCAGUAUAGAGUGUCGUACAGGAAAGCAUGGUGGGCGAAACAAAUGGCUAUGCAACAAUUGUACGGCGACUGAGAUGAGUCGUACAAUGAACUUCAGGGUUGGAUUUCAGCGGUGGUGGAGUACAUCUCAGAAAUUGUCGUAGACUUGCAAAUGUUGCCUUAUAGGGGCCCUAAUGGACAAUUGGAACUAGGGAAAAGAGUUUUUCGUCGACUAUUUUAGACUUUCGAUCCAUGUUAGGGCCUUCCCCCACUGCAAACCGCUAGUGCAAGUUGAUGGAAUAUGGCUUUAUGGAAAAUACACGCAGAUACUUCUGAUUGUGGUUGCACAAGACGGUAACAAAAAUGUACUACCGAUCGCUUUUGCCAUCGUGGAGUCCGAGAACUCCGAAUCAUGGGCGUAUUUCAUUCGGAACUUGCGAAGACAUGUUGUCAAGCAAGACAACAUUUGCAUUAUCUCUGACAGAUCGAAGGGUCUUAUUGCUGCGAUUCGACAAUCUGAGAUUUCGUGGAGGUCUGUCUAUUGUAUUCGUCACAUCACUGUCAACUUGCACAACUAGUACAAGAACAAAGACUGGCGCAAAUGAAUUAUGAACAUGGGUAAAAAUAUCGUAUUUAAAUUUGUAUUUGUAAUUAUUUCGAGUCAAUUUUCUAAUUCAGAUGGUAACACAUUUUAUCAGAAUACAUACGUAGGAUACGAGCUAGAAGCACACCGUUUCAGACAUAAGUUGGCGAGGUUAGAGACUGAUAUGGAGGGGUCCAAUCCUUCUCUCAGACAGUGGUUGGGUAGCAUGAAGCCGUGACAAUGAGCUCAAUGUUUUGACAAGGGGUACCGAUAUAGUCAAAUGACAACUAACCUCGUUGAAGCCAUUAACUCCGUCUUGAGGCGUACGCUUCAUUUACCAAUUUCAGCGGUUUUAUCAGCCACGUUUUACAGGCUAGCAACCUUAAUGCCAAAAAUGGGGUUGAAACAAGCAAAACAGUUAGAGGCAGGACACAUGUACGUCGAAAAAAUUAGGGAUGCCAUAAAAGAGAACGCUUAAAGGGCUAGGUCGAUGAAUGCAGAACUAUAUUUUCAAAAUUUAGAAACUUUUUGAGUGAUAGAGUAUAUCGGUUGUCAGUCGGGGAUCCCACCACGGUCCUACGGAGUUGAUCUUCGAAAUAGGCGGUGUGAGUGCGAGAUGUUCCAAAACACUACGGUAUCCGUGCACACAUAUGGUUGCAGCGUGUGCUACCUACAGUUUGAAUGUUGAACAAUAUAUCGACGAUGUCUACACACUUAAACGUACGUUACGUAUUUGAGGUAACGAGUUCCCCGCAUUAAAGGAUGUAUCGACAUGGGAACUGCAAUCGCUUGCGUUCGAGAUGUUGCCAGAUCGAUUACUUCGUAGGAGAGUCAAAGGUUGACUGACAACAAUGAGGAUUCGGAAUGACAUGGAUAUAAGAGAACAGGUCGAUCCAAAGCGUUACACCAUAUGUAGAACAGUUGGCCACAAUCGGAGCAAAUGUUCCCAUGGAAACAUUUAAACUAGUCAAUCUUCAUAGUCUGAAAGAAAUUAAAUGUUGGACCUGAUGUAUGCAUUUUAUGAUCUUUAGAAAUAAAAUUUGUAUUAUUUAGUGUUAAGCUUUUAUUUAAAAUUAACAGUUGCAACUUUAAAUACUUUAAAAGAUAUUAUAAAUUAUACAAAGAAGACUAAUAUAUAAGUUGUGGAACCCUAAACCAAUACAACAAAUAUUACAUAACACUUGAAAUUUAUAUAAGUUAAAAUUGGAAAGAACCGGGAGUGUUAUCGUUGUUCGGGGUAUAGCGAUUUACGGGCCUUCGUUGACAGGGUGGACGUUGGGGUGUACUGUACACAUCAGGAGGAUCGACAGCUGGAUCGAACAUGGCUUGAGGCAGAGUGGAGUACAUGUUAUUACCAAACAUAUCAAAUGAUAUCGUUGGUCGCUCUGGAUGAAAUAAACUCGAGCCACCUAUGUCCGAGUAAUAUGAAAUCAAACCAUCAAUGUCCAGAUGAUAUGAACUUGAACCACUAAUGUCCAAGUGAUAUGAACUACUCUGCGACUCAUCACAAAAAGCGUUAACCCAUUGGCCCAAUGUGUUCAAAGGUUGGUCCUCCGAGUUGGGAUCCGCCAUAUGUUAAUCCUCUAGCUUCCCCAUAGGUUGAUUUCCAUACCUGUAGCCGUGACCCAGUACUAUCAUUAGUUGUCCACCAUAUAAAUAAACGUGCCAUCGAGUCAUGUACAACUGCAUGUAUCCAAUCGAUGGACUGAAGUCAAACAUGCAAGAGUGCAUCUCAGGCCGUCUGUCGUACCGGGCAUUCCAUAGAGCUACAUAAGAUUGAUGCUCCAUACUCCAAUCUAUUGUAUGUUUCCUCCUCAUGGUCUUACCAUGGACAUCAUCAAAUUGUUGUGGCUCGAGUGGCACAAAUUGUCUACACCCAAAUUGUCACAUAACUCGAUCACCAUUGUACCACUCAACGGUUGAGAAGUUGAGCACCGGCAUGUUAAUGCACCACAUAUGGGCUUCAACGUGAACCCACUGAGGAAUAAGAGUUGCAAUGUUCAGUGUAGAAUAUAACAUCCAUAAAAACUGCACAAUAUAACAUAAUGAGUCAAGUCACAUCACAUACUGCAAGUGGAUAAGUUAAAUCAACGUUACUUAAACCAUAUAAAUAUAUAUUACUUUCUCUAUGACAUACACCUCUAUCAUUUGGCGGUAAAUGAUUAAGGUUUGGCUCGCAUCAAUUCCUGGAGACAUGGCCUAUCUGAAACCGAAACAAAAACGUUAGCAGUUAAACUUCAGAAAAUAUUAUCCACACUUAUGAGUCGUUAAAUGUUAAGUAUAAUUUUGUUUUUACCUAUUUAUAAGUGGCCACGAAUAUGGUUGAUGCCUAACAGCCGUUAGAAACGACAUCUUGUAUAAAGCCCAAGACUGUAGCAAACCCAGACAACCAGCCAUGUUACUAACCGCAUGUUUUGUUGCUUGGCAAAGCUCAUAGUAUAAUAUGGCCAACACUGCCGAUCCCCAGCUGGAACUACCGGCACGAGAAAAAUCCUUCAAUAGAGGCAAGUACUUUAAGUGGACCCUAUUAGACGUGUUGUUUGGCAUAAGUACCUCCCGAUCAACUGCAUAAUAUAGGCUCGAGCAGCACACAUCACCUCGUACUUAGUGGCAUUGCUCGAUAACUCCUUAAAAUUUGCUCUCAACCAUUUCAAUGUCAAGCAUGUGAAAUUCCAUUCCCCAUCAUUAGAGGACCAUCCAAACAAUAUGUGGCAUAGUACUGAAGGUUCCAACACUUUGCUUCGACCCGUGACCACAACACCAUCAACUCAUAACCCAAGUUACAUAUCGACGUCUUCCAAUGUGAUAGUGCACUCCCCGCACGGCAUAAUGAAGGUGUGGGUCUCCGUACACCACCGCUCAACCAAGACAGAUAUUAAGUUUGCCCUCAGGUCAAACCUCCGGAUCAAUGCGACGUCCCCAAAUCCCACCAACUGUAAGUAUAGCAUGAUCCGCUCGUCCAGAUCGUACUUGGGAAAAUGAAACCGCGACCUCAAAACCCGAUACCCAUCCUGUAUGGUAAAUUUUUUAUAAAAAUAUGAUAAAUCAAUUAUCUAUAUAAUUUAAACAUAAAAUUAUAUAUUGAAGACUAAAAUUGAAAGGUUGAGAAAACAAAAAUAUCACACUUAUACUAUACCAACGUAGCCAUUCUAAGUAUUUUUUAUUUAAGUUAAAUUAAAUGAUUAUUAUGUCCUAAUCGUAGUUAAGCAUUAAAACUAAAGGCAACUAUAUAACAACAAAAAGUACAUUAAAAUAAUAAUAAUAUCCUAAAAAACUAUAGGUUGUAUGGGUAAAUAUAAAAAUAAAAAAGACAUAUUUUUAUUGAAUUAAUAUCUAUAAUAAUAUAUAGAGUUUUACAUAUAAUAUAAACUAGGCAUAUUCAAACUCGAAAAUUUAUCUUACAUACGAGAACUUUUAUAAAAAAUUUGACUUUUUUUAUAAAUACUAGAGAAAUACUACAAUUUCUAAAAAUAGAGGGACUUUAAAAUAAAAUUUCUCUUUUUUAAUGGAGCCAAACAAAUUGGCGCCACCAGUUUCCAAAGUUGCCCACCCCUUAUUCUUUUUAAAAAUUUAAAUAUAUUAAAACAACAUUUUUUUGUCUUUACCUAUUAAAGAAUAUAUUAAAAUUUUAAAUUUUUUUUAAUAUGUUAAAAAUUUUAAUAUAUUUUAAUAUAUUUAGUUAUUAAAAAUUUAAAAUUGGUUAUACUCAACAUUUUCUUUUAACAUAUUUAAAUUUUAAUAUAUUUAAAUUUUUUACGUUUUUUAAAAUUUUAAAUAUAUUAAAAAAUUAUUUUUCUCUUUUCCUAUUAAAAAUAUAUUAAAUAUAUUAACAUUUUAAAAUAUAUUUUUAAAAAAUAUAUUGAAUAUAUUAAAAUUUUAAAAUUAGUUAUACUUAAUAUUUUUUAAUAUGGUCAUUUAGUGGUUAAGUUUUUUUUAGGUCGUGGGUAGUGGAUUUAAUUGUUAUUAGAUUAGCGAUUUAAUAUAAAUAUAAAUAUAAAUAUAUAACUAUUAUUUAAUAUAAUAUUAUUUUAUAACAUAAUAUUUAGGCUGGGUCGAACUCAGGCCAAAAAAUUCUUGCCCAAGGCCCAAAGCAUAUAGAUAACAUGCCUUAAAUUUUACCCAAGCCCAUUUUUCGAACCUCGUAUUCUGUCCAAACCUUUCCAUUUUUCGGGCAGGUGACUUGGCCCAUGAGCAGGUUUAUUCCAUACUUAAAGUAGAUAUUUUUCUUUUUAUAUAUUAUAUAAUUUAUAUUAGUUGAAAUUCUAUUAUUAGUUUUUGUACAAUGUGUAAGUUUUGGAUUUAAACUUGUAUUUUAAUUUAGUAUUUUUUAGUCCAUAAACUUUUUCAAAUUUGAGAUUUAAAUCCUAACACAAACUCAUUAUCAUAUGUGCAAUACAUAUGAGAUUGUCAUUUCCACAUAAUACUCACAAAAAAACACGUUAUUUUAUUUAAUGGAAUUAAUGGCUAUCGUUUAAGUUAGGGUUGCUAUUUCAAAAAAAUUAAAAGUAUGGAGAUUAAAAAUUAUCAAAAUGUGGAACAAUGAUUAAAUCCACAAUUUGUACAUAGUGCAGGAUUGAUAGUAGAAUUUGACUUAACAGAGCUAAUUGCUACCAUUUGAACCAAGACUGAUACUCCAAAAUUUGAAAAAAAAUAAGAAUUAAAAUUAAAUAAAUUAAAGUAUAUGGAUUAAGUCAACUAUUUACGCACAAUACAAGGACUAGUAGCAAAAUUUGAUCUUUAUAUUAUAUGAGAAUUAAAUAUAUAAUACUCUAAUAUAAGUAUUAAAAAUAUUUAAAAUUUUAAUAAAAAUUUAUAUAAAGUUAGUAAAUAGUAAAUAAAUUUAUAUUUUUAUAAAAAAAUAAAAAUAUUAUAAAUUGGCUUAAAUAAAAUUGAGUUAAUUAGUUUUUAAAAAAUAAACGUAUCUGUAAAACAAAUUUAAGACUCAUAUUUAAAGUCGUUAGCUUAAAAAAUUAGAUAAUAUUAAACACAUAUAUUCAAAUUUGGUUUUUGAAAACAUCAAAACUUGAAUAUGGAAAUACCAAGAUGAAGGGAAUUUUCAAGCUCACAUAAGAGUAGGGAUGGAGGGAGGGACAGGUGUGACCUUUGACUUCAAAAUAAAAUUUCUGUAUAAAAUCUUUUUAGGUUUUUUUUUGAAAAGGCAAAUUCAUUAUACUAUUCAAUAAAUAGAACCAUACACUCGUCGUAGAUGGUGAAGGACAACAUCCAUCAACACAAUAAAGGCUUUAGCCUUAACAUCAAUUGAACAUCUUGACAUUUUGACAAUUGGCUUUGUCACAACUCAAGCACGGCAUAUCUGGAGUGGUUGCAAGCACUUAAUAUGAUAAAGAAAUCAACCUCAGAUGGUCUAAAGCGGCGAUCAAAAAUCAACAAACGAAUCAAGCAUUCACCAAACUAGAGAAGACCACAAUAAAACCACCCCUAAAAUUACUUGUAAAACUAAGGUUACAUGCAAAAGCAAGACUAAAGAACGUGCUAUAAGAGCAGAUAAAAACUUCUAAAACUGAAAACUUAUUAAACAGUGGAAAAACAAACAAAAAAUAUAUAAAACUACAACAUGGGUCAAAAUCAACUCGUGAAAUCAUUUAUUAUUUUGAAAUGCUCUACAAACAGAAACAUAUUAAAAAGCUAACGAAGAGGCACCCACUUUCCAAGAAGAAUUAUUGGUGGCUAGUAGAGUUUUAGCAAACAACUGGCGUCAUCUUCUGUCUAUCACAACUUGUGAAGACAACAAAGAUACUUACAAAAUAGAUAUGCAAACUGAAAAGAGAGAAGACAUGUGGAGUGAAUGAGAAGAAGAAAGAAAGAAAGGGUUGGUGGAAGAGAGAAAAAUGCGGGCGAAGCUAUCUCAGAGGUUAGCACCAUCGUUGAGCAAAACAAAAGAUAAGAAGCAAACUGCUUGAAUUUUUUUUUUUAGAAUUUUUAAAUUUUGAUUCAUAUAAUCUUUUUAGUUUUUAAAAUAUUAUAUAUUAGCACAACAAUAAAAUUACACUUUUAACUUCUAAAAAAAGCUAAUAAUUUAUUGUAAUAGCCAAUUUUGGCCUAAAGCCCAAACCAAUAAAACAAAAAAUAAAACCCACCAAAUAAAUAAUAAAAAUCCAAAAUUUGAAGUCCAAUUGCCCAAAAUUAAAACCUAUUACAUGUUGAAAUCCAAACCCAAACAGCCCAUUACAUCAAACCCUAGCCCAAAUCCUAGCCCACUAUCCUAAAAUUUUUUCAGCAAACUAAACCUAAGGCUAGUCCCUAUUGCAGCUGCCGCUCCCACCGUUGGCCUCCCCAUGCAUACUCAGCCACCUUGCACGCCAACCACCGCUCACCCACGCCUCUAACACCUGCAGAAGAAGUAAAUGCAACAGAGACAAGAAAAAAAAAACGACAAAAAAUAUGAUUGAAUCAUCUUGUAAACGGCUUUAAAAGCCACAAUCUCACCUCUGUAAAUUUUUUACGAACACUUUACGAAUGGAGAUUAAUCAAAAAAGAAGAAACUUUUUGAAGGUGCUUGUUAAUUGCAUUUAAAUUUCUAUUUUUUUUUCAUUUUAUUGUACAUGCGAAAGUAUAAAAAGUGAGAGGGGAAAACUUACCGAAAUCUCUUCGUAGAUUCGUCGUCAGGAAUUUCUUCUCCAUCGCCAAAAUCGAGCAUCAAAAGGGGUGGUGGUGUAAUGACCCAAAAUCCAUGGACACCGGAAAAGUGAGUUAUAGGGCCUCCGUCUUAGUGAAAUAAGUUCGAAAAUAAUUAUUAAAAAUAUUUAUGAGCCUAGUGGUGUGUCUAAUUAGGAUUUAAUUAGGUGAUAUUAGCUUAAUUUAGAAUAAUUAGCAAAAAGAACUAAAUUAAAAAAGGGGUAAAAGUUUAAUUCUAAAGUAAUAGAAAAUAAAAAGGAUCAAAAUGGCAAUUAAGCCAUUUACAUAAAUUGAGGCAUCAAAUGGAAGAAAAAUCAAGAUUUUUCUUGAAUGUAUGUAUUAUAUAUAUUAAAAUUAUUAUUAUGGUUUUAUAAUUAUUAUGAUUAUUUAAUGAAUAUUAUAUUUUAAAUAAAUUAAAUAGUUGAUAAAUAUAUGGUAAUAAAAUAUACAUGUGUAAAAAUUAUAUUGGUACAUUUGUAAUUUAAAUACUAAAUUACUUAUAAUUUAAGUAAAAAGAUAUUUUUUAAUUAAAUAAUUAAAAUUUUAAAUUAUGAGAUUUUUGUUUGAGAAACAAAUUAAAUAAUGACAAAUGUAAUAAAAUUAUUGGUACAAAUGUAGAAUUAAAUAUGUGUACAAUUGUAAAAUGUGUAAAUGAUGUUAAAAUAGAUAUUUAAAAUAAAUAUAUUAUAAUAUAUGCUAAUUAAAUAAGUAAAGCAAAUAAAUAUAAAAGAGAAAUAAAGAAACAAAAGGGAAUAGAAACAGAAUUGAAAACGGGAAGCAGGAGAGAAAAAGAGAAAGAAAAAGGGAAAGAAAAAUAAAAGAGAAAACUAAGGAUUUGAAGCUUGGAGUUAAUUUGGUAAGUCAAUUAAGUCAUUUUUAGUUAAUCUUGAUGUUUUAGAAACUUUGAAACAAGAUUGAUGAAAUUAAGUUGAUAGUUCAAGAGUUCAUAUGUUUCCAAAUAUGGUUCAUGUUGGACAAAUUAUGGAAUUAGGGAUUUAAUUGAAUGAAUUCCAAGUUAGAAUUGAUUAAGGGAUUAAAUUGUAAACUAGGCUAUAAGUUUUAUGUUGCAGGGACUAAAUUGAAGAAAUUUCGAAAUUAGGGAAAUAUGCAGGAAAUUUUAUAGUUAAAUAUAAGUUUAGACAAAAUUUGAAUAGAAAAAGAGAGUGAAUUGGAUUAAAAAAAUAAUUAAGUUUAGUUAGGAUUAAAUUGAGAAUAAGGUAGGAAUUGUUUAGAAAUUUAAUUAUUUAUUAUAAUUAAUGCUGUAAAUAAUAAUGUAAAUUACUAUUAUUUUCGUAGCCAACAAAGAACCUGAAGCAUCAGCAUCAAAAGGAAAGGAGAAAGUCAUCGAGGACUAAAACAGGAGAAUUACGGUGUGUAUUACUAUAAUUCGAAUUUUAAUUAUUAUUGAUUGCUGAAUUUUUAAUUGUUAUGUAUGGUAAGUAAGACUUGAGGUAAGUAUGUGAAAUUGAUAUGAAUAUUGAGUGAAAAUGAAAGUGAUGCAAAUUGAAUUAAAUUGAAUAGAAUAAGUGAAUUAUGGAAUAUGUGAUUAUUUGAAAAGUGUAUUGAUUGAAAAAUGAAUGGUGAUUUGAAUUGUGAAUUGAAAGUGAUAUAGAAUUGAGAAAGUGAAUUGAAUACCCUAUUAACUAGUCGGGCUGAGUCGGAUAUAAUUGACAUGCCGUAGGAUUAGAAGUGUUCAGGGAUGCUUCGACCUUGAGUCGAUGAGACACUAGGUGUCACUAAAUUUCUUUGGAUAGAUUCGAUGAGGUACUAGGUACCAACUUUACUUCGGCUAGGUCGAUGAGGCACUGGGUGUCAACUAUUACUUCGAACUAUCUGAUGAGGCACUGGGUGCCAUAUUGGUGUGUUUGGUUAGAUCCGUGUAUCCGUCAAAGUUCGAGUUACGUUAAUAGGGUGAAAAAUUGAAAUGUGAAUUUAAGGCAUUGAAAUAAAAAAAAAAAGAAAUUGAAUUAUGAAUAAAAAUUGGAAUUGUGAUAGAAAGAGAAAAGUAUGAGCUAAAUGUUCAUAAGUGGUUUAAAUUCAAGUUUGUGAAAAAUACAUUGAUUGAUGAAUAAUUAAAUUGAAUUGUUAUUUUGAAAUGAUGAAAAUAAAAAUAAAAAUAAAGUAUGAAUUAGUAUUUAAGAAAUUAAUUGUUAUGUAUUUUAAUAUUUAUAUUUUUAUUAUUGAUGAUAUAUUUUGAAUUAUGGUAAUACCACUGAGUAUAUCCAUACUCAGCGUACGGUUGUUUCCGUGCGUAGGUUAGUAGAAGUCAAGUGUCCCAGCUCAGCAUCCAGAACAAUCCCGACUCCAACACAAAUUUAGUGAUGUAUAUUUUUCUUUUGGGUAAAGGUGGCAUGUACAUAGGUGUUGUUUAGUCACUUGAAUAUGUAUAUUACUUUGGGUAGUGAAUGAUGAAUUAUAAGAUUUAGAUGGUUAAAUGAAUGAAGUUUUUAAUCAAUUUAGAAUGAUGCUAUGAUAGUUAGUAAGUUAAAAAUUAUGUUAAUGAUAUAAAUAUUAGUUAUAUGAAUGUGAAACAUUGGUGUUGGUUGUUUUGGUUUGAAUUUGCAAGGGGUUUUAGGUAAAAAUAAGCAGAAAUGCAGCCGAAAUUUCUUAUAAAAAAAUUUUCCCGGAAUACUCGAACAAGUCCUGUUCUACUUUUAAUACGUGUUUGAACUUCGAGAGUCCAAUAUAGGGACUUAAUUAUUAUAUUAUACUAUGAAAGUUAUAUUAAUUGUAAAUUAUUCGUAAGUUGUCUAAUAUGUCCGGUAAUACCUCAUAACCUCGUUCCGGCGACAGUUUGGGGUUAGGGAGUGUUACAGUUGUUGGUAUCAGAGCUAUCAGGUUUAGCCAAUUCUCGGGCUAAAUUGGGCUCGAAAGUGAGUUUAGGAGUACAUGCCACUGUCGAGUCGAAAUUGAGUUGGGAUUUUUGGAUGCUAAUAUAUUUAUUUGAUUUUGUUUUAUAGAUAAAAUGUCAGAUGAAAGACUGAAUAAUGUUGAACAGGAAAUGUAUACUGGAAGUCGAGAAGUAGAAGAAACUGAAUUUGCUACACCUAAUGUAAAUCCGUUAGAUAAUCAACCUCCUAACGUAGGGAGAGAAAGAAAUACCUCACAACUGUUAAGAGAUAUAGCUAAUGCAUUACAGCAUAUAGUGAGAACUAUACCUGCUACUACAUCUGUACCUACUGUCAGACAGGUCCCGAUUGAAGAGUUAUGAAAAUAUGGUGCCACGAAAUUUCAAGGAUUAAAAGGAGAUGAUCCGUCCGCUGCUGAAAAUUGGAUGGAAACAACAAAAAGAGUUUUGUAACAAUUAGACUGCACCCCCCGAGAGAGUCUAAUAUGUGCUGUAUCACUGUUACAAGGAGAAGCGUAUCUUUGGUGGGAAUCUGUGGUUAGACAUUUGCCGGAUGAUCAGGUAACCUGGGACUUGUUUCAAAAAGAAUUUCAGAAGAAGUAUAUUGAGGAAUUGUACAUCGAAGAGAAAAAGCAAGAGUUUUUAGUGUUGAAACAGGGGAAUAUGUCAGUACUGGAUUAUGAGCGAGAGUUCUCUAGAUUGAGUAGGUAUGCUUUAGAAUAUAUUCUAACCGAAGCUGAUAGUUGUAAACGAUUUCUACGGGGACUGCGAGAUGAAAUCAAGAUUCAAUUGGUAAGUCUCAGAAUUACUGAACUUGUUGAUCUGGUUGAGCGAGCAAAAAUGAUAGAACAAGUACUGGGCCUAGAUAAAAAAUCAGAAAUUGGAAAAUCAGCUGGGAAACGUAUGGGAACUACUAGUUCUAAUCUAUUACCGAAGAGAUUCAGAGAAUCAAGAAGUGACUGGAGAUCCAAUUUUAAUUCAGACAGAAGUGGUAGAAGCAGAGGUAAAUAGAUGACAGUAUCUACUAGCAGUGUGAGAGGUCUAUUUCGAAGUGUAGAAAUUCCAGACUGUGAGCACUGCGGGAAGAAACACAGAGGAGAAUGUUGGAAAGUAACUAGAGGUUACUUCAGAUGUGGCCCUACAGACCAUUUUAUUAGAGAUUUUCUGAACACCGAUAAUGCUGCACCUGUAUCGUCACAAAGAUCAAUAUCUACUACUAGAGGCAGAUGGUCAGGUAGGGGUAGUUCGGCUUCUAGAAAAGGUGCUGGUAGAAACAGCAGUGAUAUUGUUACUCAGCAGUCUGAAGCCAGAAUACUAGCCAGAGCUUAUGUGGUCAGAAAACGAGAAGAAGGUGAUGCUCAUGAUGUGGUGACAGGUAUAUUUUUACUGUAUUCUGAGCCUGUUUAUGCUUUGAUUGAUCCUGGAUCUUCACAUUCUUAUAUUAAUUCAAAAUUAUUUGAAUCGGGGAAAUUAAAAUCUGAAAUGUCUAGAGUGUCUGUAGAAGUGUCGAGUCCGUUGGGGCAAACAAUAUUAGUGAAUCGAGUAUGUCCGAGAUGCCCGUUAAUUAUACAGAAUAAAACUUUUCCUGUUAACUUGUUGAUUAUGCCAUUUGGAGAUUUUGAUAUAAUAUUGGGAAUGGAUUGGCUAUCCAAAUAUGGAGUGAUUUUGGAUUGUUAUAAAAAGAAGUUUAGUAUUCAAACAGACAAUGGAGAUCGGAUUGACGUAAACGGUAUCCGUACUGGUGGGCCGGCACGUAUCAUUUCAGCAAUAAAGGCUAGUAAAUUACUUCAACGGGGUUGUUCAGCAUAUUUGGCAUAUGUUAUUAACUCAGAUUCGAUUGGAAGUCAAUGUAGCAAGAUCCGAACAGUUUUCGAAUUUCCUGAUGUAUUUCCUGAGGAAUUAUUGGGUCUACCGCCCGAUAGAGAAGUUGAAUUUGCUAUAGAGGUUUAUCCAGGCACAGCACCAAUCUCUAUACCUCCAUAUCGGAUGUCACCUACAGAGUUAAAAGAGCUGAAAAUACAGUUGCAAGAUUUGUUAGAUCGUGGCUUUAUUCGACCAAGUAUAUCAUCGUGGGGAGUUUCGGUAUUAUUUGUUAAAAAGAAAGAUGGCUCUAUGUGACUUUGUAUUGAUUACCGACAGUUGAACUAGGUGACAAUUAAAAAUAAGUACCCGUUGCCUCGCAUUGAUGAUUUAUUUGAUCAGUUGAAAGGAGCUUCUGUGUUUUCGAAGAUUGACUUAAGGUUGAGUUACUAUCAGUUGAAGGUAAAAGAAAGUGAUGUAUCGAAAACAGCUUUCCGUACGAGGAAUGGCCAUUAUGAGUUAUUGGUAAUGCCAUUUGGGCUAACAAAUGCCCCAGCUGCUUUUAUGGAUCUCAUGAAUCGUAUCUUUCAGCCGUAUUUAGAUCAGUUUGUGGUGGUUUUUAUUGAUGAUAUAUUGGUUUAUUCAAAGUCAGAGUCAGAACAUGAUCGGCAUCUGAAGAUUGUGCUACAGACUUUACGAGAGAAAUAGCUAUAUGGAAAACUCAGUAAAUGCGAAUUCUGGUUAUCAGAAGUGGUAUUUCUAGGACAUAUAGUAUCUGCAGAUGGAAUCCGAGUUGAUCCGAAAAAGAUUGAAGCAAUUAUUCAAUGGAAUGCACCGAGGAAUGUAUCUGAGGUACGUAGUUUUCUUGGUUUAGCUGGGUAUUACAGAAGAUUUGUAAAUGGAUUUUCGAAGAUAGCUUUGCCGAUGACCAAGUUGCUACAGAAGAAUGUUCCUUUUAUUUGGGAUGAUCAGUGUUAGAAAAGUUUUAAAACAUUGAAGCAAAUGUUAACCGAGGCACCAGUUCUGACAUUGCCAGAAUCGGGUAAAGAUUUUGUAGUGUAUAGUGAUGCUUCUUUGAGUGGUUUGGGUUGUGUAUUGAUGCAGGACGGGAAGGUAAUAGCCUAUGCAUCUCGUCAAUUGAAACCACAUGAAAGGAAUUAUCCGACUCAUGAUCUUGAUUAGCAGCUGUGAUUUUUGCAUUGAAGAUUUGGAGACAUUAUCUUUAUGGUGAAAAAUGCUAGAUCUAUACGGAUCAGAAGAGUUUGAAGUAUCUUCUUUCUCAGAAAGAAUUGAAUUUGAGACAAAGGCGUUGGAUCGAGCUUCUGAAAGAUUAUGAUUGUGUUAUAGACUAUCAUCCGGGAAGAGCUAAUGUUGUAGCUGAUGCAUUAAGUAGAAAAGCUGUAAUUGAAUUAAGAGCAAUGUUUGCACGGCUUAGUAUCAGUGAUGAUGGGAGUCUUUUGGCCGAAUUGAGAAUAAAACCAGUAAUGUUUGAUCAGAUUAGAUCAGCUCAGUUGGAAGAUGACAAAUUAUUGAAGAAAAGAGACAUGAUACAGAAUGACACAGCAAAAAAUUUUAGUAUUGAUGAUUGUAGAUGCUUGAGGUUUCAAAAUCGGAUUUGUAUUCCAAAUACUUCUGAGCUUAAAGAGUUGAUUUUACGGGAAGCUCAUGAUAGUUCAUUUGCUAUGCACCCCGGAGGCACGAAAAUGUAUCGAGAUUUAAGAGAAUUAUACUGGUGGCCAGGGAUGAAAAGAGACAUAGUAGAAUUUGUAAGUAAAUGUUUGACUUGUCAGCGGGUAAAGGCAGAACAUCAGGUUCCUACUGGAUUGCUUCAGCCUAUUAAUAUUCCUGAAUGGAAAUGGGAUCGCAUCACGAUGGAUUUUAUUACGGGAUUACCGUUGUCAGCAAGUAAAAAGAAUGCUAUUUGGGUGAUAGUUGAUAGACUUACCAAGUCAGCACAUUUUAUAGCAGUCAGGACUGAUUGGCGUUGCAGAAGCUUGCAGACGUGUAUAUUCGAGAAAUUUUUAGAUUACAUGGCAUUCCGAUAUCAAUAAUUUCAGAUUGAGAUCCUCGGUUCAUAUCGAGAUUUUGGAGACAGUUACAUAGGUUGUUGGGUACUAGACUUAGUUUUAGUACAGCUUUUCAUCCUCAAACUGACGGACAGUUCGAACGGGUAAUUCAGGUACUAGAAGAUAUGCUUCGAGCUUGUAUUAUUGAUUUUGAAGUAGGUUGGGAGCGAUAUUUGCCACUAGCUGAGUUUGUCUAUAAUAAUAGUUUCCAAUCUAGUAUUCAGAUGGCUCCGUAUGAAGCGUUAUAUGGUCGAAAAUGUAGAUCACCAGUAUGUUGGAUGGAGUUGAAUGAAAGAAAAGUAAUUGGGCCGGAAUUAAUUCAAGAAACAAAAGAAACAGUCAAAAAGAUCAAAGAUAGAUUAAAGGUAGCUUUUGACAGACAAAAGUCUUAUGCUGACUUGAAACGUCGAGACAUUGAGUAUUUAGUUGGAGACAAAGUAUUUCUUAAGGUUUCUCUGUAAUACCCCUACCCGUAUUCAUUGCCGGAAUAGGGUAUGAGGCAUUACCGGAGUUUACGAAUUAAUUUUUUUUUUCAAUUCAACAUAUUUUCAUGAUAGAUUCAUGCAUUUAUAUAAGAUAACGUCAUCACAUAUCUAUAACCAGGUUUGUUAACCAUACUAAUGGCUAACUUUACAUUCAUUUCACGUUAACAUUUACUUUGUUAGCUUAUACAUGCCAUUGAUUUCCAAAAUAAAGUUUCUUUAUAUACCGAAAUCCUGAGGUUGACAGUGUGAUGUGUCUCCGACCAAAUCCGACCUCCGAGCUCUUAACACUACAAAAAAGGGAAAAAGGAAACGGGGUAAGCACUUUGUGCUUAGUAAGCUCAUGUAAUAAUAAUUAUACUUACCUAAUAUUUUCAAUACAAUAUAAUAAACAUUCAUAUAUCCAUUCAAUGCAUUAUUACCCUAACAUGCACAAACUCAGCAUUCAAGUUAGUACAAUAAUUUCCAUGUUCAAUAAUAUAUAUACCAUGAUUGAUGUACUCAUCAAUACCAUGAUUUUCAUUCCCUUAUUAUUUUUCAUAUUUAUCCCGUUGAAUUUAUCGGAAUUUCGAUAGAUUUUCAGAGGUACACUUUUAGUGUACAAUUCUGGGUCCGUCAAUUCAUAUUCAUGUGCGCACAUUUCCAUUUCA
rnacentral:lncRNA from 1 species